ensembl:lncRNA
CAAUAUUAUCCAAAAAAGUACAUUUCAGCAAAAAUGCACUUAACUCACUGAAAAUUGCUUGUUAUCAAAUCAAUCAUUUGCAUUAAAUGCCCAAAUGUCAGCAGAAUCAUACAGUUACACAAAAUAACAAAAAAUAAUACACGAUCAAAUAUUCCUAUUGUUUUGGAGUUGCUGGAGGUACAAUAUUGUCCAGAUAAGUAGGCUAUAAUAAAAAUGCUCUUGACCAAAGACUAAAGGAACUUUGGCUUAACACAUUGAACAUUGUUAUGAAAAACAAUCCAGCAAAAUCAAUUGACGCACUGCUGUCUCGGGUUUUCUCGCGAUACUGCGUGAGCAGUGUGUCGCGCGCCUGGGAGCAGUGUUGCAAAGUCCGCGGUUUUCCCGCGCAAUUGGGCUACUUCAACACUGUUGUCUGCGGGUUGAAAAACGACGCCGCUGACGUGAAAUGUAUCCCACGGAAUUUCACCACGGAACCCCGCCAAAACUUGGUAUUUUAUCCCCGGAACGCGAUUUUUAACGGGGGAGCCCUCGAAACGCGAUUGUGCGGGUUUAGUUGUGAAAACCUGGCAACCCUGCGCUGAGAGGAUGGCGGAAGCGGAGCUGACCGCAAACAUGAAGAAUCAGGCGAUUCUCCCGCCGACGGAGGAGAACACAAAUGGCAUAAAACUAAAUGGAUCAUGCUGGAAGAAUCUUUACACAGUUGUACUGCAUAACAAGAUGAAAAUACUGAGGAAGAACAGCAGUUUUUUGCAGUGUGAUCAAAAGGUACAGUCAAAGCUACUUCCAUAUUUUAGUGGUUUGGAGCAGAGAUAUUCAAGCAACAAGCCAUUUUUUUUUUGUAAAAUGAAUAAGAAAUGGCAACCUAUUAGAAGCUGUAUUUUCAAACUGAAGUGUAGCUAAUACAAGAGAUUUACAUUUAGAGAACAUAUUGGAAUACAAGUAACGCGAGUUAUGUAAUCAGAUUACUUUUUUAAAGUAACUAGUAAAGUAACACAUUCUUUUUUUUAAUUUAGAAGGAAGUAUCUGAGUUACUUUUUCAAAUAAUGAACUCGUUACUUUGUUUCCAUGUAUUGAGUGACAGCUCUGGUGUUGCCAUGGUGACAGAACUCAGGACUGGACUCUAAGGUGGACUGGAAGAAGCUGGAGGUGUUCAGUUUGGCCGGGACGAGAGAGGGCUGAUGUGAAAGAAGACAAAGACGGGAAGAGUGCGGGAUGGGGACGGUCAGCUUCGAGCAGCCAUCUGUAUCCUCUGGACCUCAACCUAGAGAUGGAGUCAGCUCAAUCUGUGUGUGUGGGUGUGUGUCUCUGUGUCUCUGUGUGUGUGUGU